rnacentral:lncRNA from 1 species
UGUCUAUCCUCAAUCCUCACAAUCUGUGAAUAUGUGACCAUCUACGGCAAAAGUGAAUUUUCACAUGUGAUUGAGGGUAAGGACCUGGAAGUGGAGAAAUUAUUCUGGAUGAUGCGGGUUGAUGAAAACAUUCUGAAUUAUAUUGUGAUGAUGGCCGAACUCUCUCAUCACACUGAAACCGCUGAACUGCAUCCUUUAAAAUGGUGAGUAGUAUGAUCUGGGGCUUAUAUCUCAAUUUUAUUUUUAUUUCUUUUUAAAGAUUUUAUUUAUUUAUUUGAGAGAGAGAUAGAUCACGAGUAGGCAGAGCAGCAGGCAGAGGGGGAGAGGGAAGCAGGCUCCCUGCUGAGCAGAGAGCCUGAUGCGAGGCUCGAUCCCAGGACCCGAGCGGGAAGGCAGAGGCUUUAACCCACUGAGCCACCCAG